GAUGAACGCUGGCGGCGUGCCUAAUACAUGCAAGUCGAGCGAACAGACGAGGAGCUUGCUCCUCUGACGUUAGCGGCGGACGGGUGAGUAACACGUGGAUAACCUACCUAUAAGACUGGGAUAACUUCGGGAAACCGGAGCUAAUACCGGAUAAUAUAUUGAACCGCAUGGUUCAAUAGUGAAAGACGGUGUUGCUGUCACUUAUAGAUGGAUCCGCGCCGCAUUAGCUAGUUGGUAAGGUAACGGCUUACCAAGGCGACGAUGCGUAGCCGAACUGAGAGGGUGAUCGGCCACACUGGAACUGAGACACGGUCCAGACUCCUACGGGAGGCAGCAGUAGGGAAUCUUCCGCAAAGGGCGAAAGCCUGACGGAGCAACGCCGCGUGAGUGAUGAAGGUCUUCGGAUCGUAAAACUCUGUUAUUAGGGAAGAACAAAUGUGUAAGUAACUAUGCACGUCUUGACGGUACCUAAUCAGAAAGCCACGGCUAACUACGUG
rnacentral:rRNA from 1 species